rnacentral:rRNA from 1 species
AUUGAACGCUGGCGGCAUGCUUUACACAUGCAAGUCGAACGGUAACAGGGUGCUUGCACCGCUGACGAGUGGCGAACGGGUGAGUAAUGCGUCGGAACGUGCCGAGUAGUGGGGGAUAACGCAGCGAAAGUUGUGCUAAUACCGCAUACGUACUGAGGUAGAAAGUGGGGGACCUUCGGGCCUCACGCUAUUCGAGCGGCCGACGUCUGAUUAGCUAGUAGGUGAGGUAAAGGCUCACCUAGGCGACGAUCAGUAGCGGGUCUGAGAGGAUGAUCCGCCAAACUGGGCCUGGGACACGGCCCAGACUCCUACGGGAGGCAGCAGUGGGGAAUUUUGGACAAUGGGCGAAAGCCUGAUCCAGCCAUGCCGCGUGCAGGAUGAAGGCCUUCGGGUUGUAAACUGCUUUUGUACGGAACGAAAAGGUUUGGCCUAAUAAGCUGAGCUCAUGACGGUACCGUAAGAAUAAGCACCGGCUAACUACGUGCCAGCCGCCGCCGUAC